rnacentral:lncRNA from 1 species
CAAAGUCUGAAGCCUUGUCAAACACCCAGUAUUAACUUCUGGUGCUGACCUAGAAAAGGAGCGUUGCAGAGGAUGGCAGGACCAUAGGCAGUUCUGGCAGUAUGGAACAAAAUCACGUCACCUCCAAGGUAGGAUCAAUUGGAUGCUCUGCUCUGCGGGCUUAAAAAUAAACACUCGUGCUUUCGUUUUUCCUUCGGGAUGGAAAUGAAGAUGUGUUUCUUUGCUGCCUGCUCCUGUCGUGGUUUGGAAGUGCUGUUAUUUCAUUCUUACAAAAUAUUGUCUUUUUAAUUAAAAAAAAAAAAAAAAAAAAA